UCCAGACUCCUACGGGAGGCAGCAGUGGGGAAUAUUGCACAAUGGGGGAAACCCUGAUGCAGCGACGCCGCGUGAGUGAAGAAGUAUUUCGGUAUGUAAGGCUCUAUCAGCAGGGAAGAAGAUGACGGUACCUGAAUAAGAAGCCCCGGCUAACUACGUGCCAGCAGCCGCGGUAAUACGUAGGGGGCAAGCGUUAUCCGGAUUUACUGGGUGUAAAGGGAGCGCAGACGGCAGUGCAAGUCUGGAGUGAAAGCCCGGGGCCCAACCCCGGGACUGCUUUGGAAACUGUUAAGCUGGAGUGCAGGAGAGGUAAGUGGAAUUCCUAGUGUAGCGGUGAAAUGCGUAGAUAUUAGGAGGAACACCAGUGGCGAAGGCGGCUUACUGGACUGUAACUGACGUUGAGGCUCGAAAGCGUGGGGAGCAAACAGGAUUAGAUACCCCGGUAA
rnacentral:rRNA from 1 species